CCUACGGGUGGCAGCAGUGGGGAAUAUUGCACAAUGGGGGAAACCCUGAUGCAGCGACGCCGCGUGAGCGAAGAAGUAUUUCGGUAUGUAAAGCACUAUCAGCAGGAAAGAAAGUGACGGUACCUGAGUAAGCAGCUCCGGCUAAAUACGGGCCAGCAGCCGCGGUAAUACGUAGGGAGAAAGAGUUAUCCGGAUUUACUGGGUGUAAAGGGAGCGGAGGCGGCCUUGCAAGUCAGAUGUGAAAUACCGGGGCUCAACCCCGGGGCUGCAUUGGAUACUGGGAGGCUGGAGUGUCGGAGAGGCAGGCAGAAUUCCAGGUGUAGCGGUGAAAUGCGUAGAUAUUAGGAGGAAUACCAGUGGCGAAGGCGGCCUGCUGGACGAUGACUGACGCUGAGGUGCGAAAGCGUGGGGAGCAAACAGGAUUAGAUACCCGAGUAGUC
rnacentral:rRNA from 1 species